UAUACUUAAGGCCUCUUCAAGCAUCUCUGUGCUCCACAGCAGCACUCCAGUUAUUGGCCUUAAAGACACACCAACUGACCACCCUUCCCCCUCCUGUUAUAAGAGGGGGUUGGCUUUGGCUCACCACGAUUCACUGCCCAUGCCAUGGAGAGCCCGACCAAGUCUGUGCUCCUCCUUGCUCUUCUCCUCGCCACCAUUGUCGUGCAGCUCGAGGGAAGAAACAUCCACAGCGAGCCUAAACCCUACAAGCCUCAAAACUUCUUCGGGUUCGGUGGCGUCUUCGGCACUCCCGGGCUUCCCUUGGGUCCUCAGUUUGGGUUCGGAGGUCCUGCCUUCGGCUCCAUCCCCACCAUUGGAAGUAUCCCGGGGAUGCCCGGCGGAGGGCUCAUAGGACGUGGAGGUGCAAAGCCAUGAUGUGAUGAGCUGGGGUUGUCUCGGUUAAUGUUCUCCGGUGUGCUGUAAGCUUAUCGAUAGCUUAUUAUGGUGGUGUUUGUCCUAGGUUUAGUAGUCUGCUGUUUGCUCAGUGUUUUGUUACGUUUAUCAUAGCGUGUUAGGUUGUGACAUGUAGCUUGUUAUCCUUAGAAAAUGUACUCGGCUUGAUGUCUUCUCAUGGAUCUGUCUAUGUGUGAAAGAGGGAGAGAGAGGAUUAAGGUGUGCACGAAAUGACCCACUUCCACUGAGGGAGAUAUGUGACUGUCUGUGACCGACACAUUAGAAUCGUUGCCGUUGUGCCUGUUGGAGCAAAGCUGACCGUGGCGAGACCUGUGUCAGCGGGCCCAAAGUAAGAUCCAUUGGCUCAGCCAACAGGCAGCUGCCAUGUCAUCGGACGGCCUUUAACACCCCUGUGGUACAAGCCAGAGAUGCUGCUGAUGUGAGCCCCAUUGGCUCAGUCAACAGGCAGCUGCCGUGUCACUGGACGGCCUUUAACAUCCCCAUGGUUCAAAACGGAGAUACCGAGCGUGGGCUCCACUGGCUCACGCAACAGACCGCUGCCAUGUCACUGGACGUGGGAUCCAUUGGUCGGUCAACAGGCAGCUGCCACGUCAUCCGACGGCCUUUGAUUAAGGAUAUCCAACAAUACUAAUAAGCAUAUGAGUAGUAGUGCUUCCAAUAAGUCUGACAAAUAUAUUAGCCCCAGUGGCGAUGUCAUACAAUGCAAUUGCUACAAGCCAAUAACAUAUAAUAUAUAUUCUCUCCACUUAGAUGCAUACUAAUAUACAUCGAUCCAUAUUAAUAUAAUCUAAAUUAUUAUUAUCAUGGAAUCAGAAAUAUUUUAAAAAUAUAUUAUGAUAUCUUCGUGUGUGUGUGUGUGUAUAUAUAUAUAUAUAUAUAUAUAUAUAUAUAUAUAUAUUCGAACUAUCUAAAUAUCGACUGUAACUUCAAAUAAAUAGCAUGUGCUGUUUUUGUGGAUGAAUUCCAGUAUGGAUGGAGGAUCUACAUAUAUAUGCUUUAUUAAAAUACGUUAAAACUGCGUAAUGUUUUUGUUUUUGGUUCUCUCGUUAUUUGGAGAUUACAACCCGUUUUGUGCCAAACAGAAAGAGAACGUGACCGUGUCUCGAUCGCCCUCAUCUUUCCCUUCCACUCCCUUCAUCACAUCGGAACCCUUUAAACCCUAACAUCGUUCUCCAGACCCGACCAAUUCCGCUUCCUUUGGGUACGACAUUCUUUUACCUUUUAAAUCUAAUUCUGUUGAUUUGCAGUUUAUGAUUUCUUGGUUUUCUUGAAAUCUCCCGGAAAUCGGGUGUUUUUGCUUGAAAUGUAAGGGUUGUUCUUGCCAUUGACGGAUGGUGCGAAAAGAAUCAGGUCGUGAGAGUAGAUAAAGGUUCGUUCCGACAUAUGGAACUAGCUCACUUGCAAACCAGUGGAUAAUGUAUCGUCCAUAUAUUAUAUUGAUUGCUUGCACACGCUGUCUGUGUCACUGAAACUGAAUAGCUUUAAGAACCGAUUCUUUUUGGGAGAAUUUGUACAUGUCAUUUAAGAUAAAAUAUAUAGUUUUCUCCACUAAAUAAAUCAAAAUAAAAUAAAAUCCCAUGCCAAAAGACAACAUUCUGAUUACAUUUCGUAAUGCAUGUCAGUUUUUUUUUUUUUCUUUCUGAGAACUGGAUUAUUGAUAAUGCUGGUGGUCGUGUUAUUAUCGGAUGUUGCAAAAAGAAUUAGAUUAUGAGAGUAGAUCAAGUUUCUUUCCAACAUCAGGAGACUAGGUCACUUGCUAACGAAUGGAUAACCUAUCUUCCAUAUGUUAUAUGGAUUGCUUGCACGUGCUGUUUAUGUCAUUGAAAUCGAAUAGCAGUAAGACCCGAUAUUUAUUGCGAGAAUUUUUACAUGUCAUUUCACAUAAAAUUUAUAGUUUUAUUAAAUAAAUAAAUAAAUAAAUUCCAUGCCAAAAGACAAGAUUUUGGUCAUAUUUCCAUAAUGCAUAUACAAUAGUGAAUAGUUGGUGUUUGAUGAGAAAAUGACGGUAGCCCUUUUCUUCUUUUUCUCCUACAGAUUGGUAUGGAUUAACUUAUAUUCUUGAUAUCUUUGCCUGAAGAUAGGAUAAAGUUAUAUUGCAUUUCCUUUCAUUUGAUGCUGAUUGUUUCGAUCUCACUGCGAUGACUUAGUGCACAAUAUAAUUACUUUUUAUAUUCCCCUUGAUGGUUCCUUUCGAAUUAUGAAAUCCUUAUGACACCAACAUGUCAUGUGGAGAUUUAGGUUACCAUACAGUGACACUUUUUUCAUGUUAUAUAAGUUAUCUUUAUUUUUUUUUGCCAAGGAACAAAAUUAUCAAUGAGUUCAAUGUAAGUUCUAUACCAAGUCAAUCUUGUUAGUAGACAAUAAGCUCUAAAAUGAGCAGUGCCAGUUACAUUAAAUAACAUAAUCAACUUUAAGAUAAUAUAUGUGACAUGACAGAGGAAAGAAGUUCAGGCAUCCUUGUGUGUCUUGUAUGUUUAAUGUAAGAAAAUUCAAGUUGAUGAAUGAAAGUUGAGCCAUGCAUUUACUUAUCACCAAGACAUGAUUUACAUGUAUGUAAAAGUUAUUCUAUUAGUUAUGUUGAGGCAUGCAUAUAUUGGUUUAUACCUGCAUUUUGAUGAAUUUUUGCUGAAUCUAUAUGUGGAUUGUACUGAUUUACACAACAAAAGUGUACAAGAAUUUACUGGACCCUGGUACUUACCUUCGAGCAUAGCUUAAAAUUAUUUGUGGGCAAUAUACACCAUUGGAGUCACCAAAAGAUCCAAUGUUCCUAGUAAAGACACUUCUUACACUAUUGACUACCAUAAUUUCCAAGCUGGCAAAAAUUCAGAAUUCUGUUUACAAGUAUUCUUAAAUAUCUGUUUACCUUGUCUGAAAAUUUAGCUUCCCAAUAAAAUAAGCAAAAAGGGAAGCAUAGAUCAAUGGAAGGGCAAGAAGAGCAACAGCAACGAGCCCUAAAAGAUUGUGGUGAAAACCAAAAUAGUCCUCUAGGAAAGAAGCUAUCGAU
rnacentral:lncRNA from 1 species